rnacentral:rRNA from 1 species
AUUGAACGCUGGCGGCAGGCCUAAAACAUGCAAGUCGAACGAGUGGCGGACGGGUGAGUAAUGUCUGGGAAACUGCCUGAUGGAGGGGGAUAACUACUGGAAACGGUAGCUAAUACCGCAUACCAUCAGAUGUGCCCAGAUGGGAUUAGCUUGUUGGUGGGGUAACGGCUCACAAAGGCGACGAUCCCUAGCUGGUCUGAGAGGAUGCCCAGCCACACUGGAACUGAGACACGGUCCAGACUCCUACGGGAGGCAGCAGUGGGGAAUAUUGCACAAUGGGCGCAAGUCUGACCGAGCAAUGCCGCGUGUAUGAAGAAGGUCUUCGGGUUGUAAAGUACUGUCAGCGGGGAGGCGGUACCCGACGAAGAAGCACCGGCUAACUCCGUGCCAGCCGCCGCGGUAAUUC